CCCCUUCGCCUCUCCGUAGCCGCCGAAUUGUUGUGGUGUUGCAGAAAUCCAGUUUUCGAACGUGGUCUUGCGUGUGGCUCGGCUCUCGGGACAUUAGGGGAGGCUUCUGAGGGAGGGUCGAGUGACGAGGCUUGGUGUCGGUGCUAGUAGUUCCGUUGGGUAGACUCUGACUGGUAACUCCUGGACUCGAAUUGGGUCUUGGUGCUCUCCAUUUCACUCCUGAAGAUCCUCACGUAUUUACCGCAGAACUGAUUUGUGGGAGCGGGUAAAGGCUGAAGGGCAUUUCUGCGUGGGGAUGGCCAAACCGGCUGGCGAUGCGGCAGUAGGAUCUCGUUCUGGAGAGUUGUUUCUGCCCUCCGUUUCUUCUUCAGCCACGUCGCCAGCUCCAAGUGCAGCCUCAGCCCCUGCCUCCGUUUCCCUGUUGUCCCUCAACGGGGAAGCUCCACUCAUUCGGGGCCUGAGCCUGGUGAGCCAAGCUCCUGGGGAGGCUCUGGCCUGGGCGCCGCGUACUUCCUGUCCAGGAGAGAACACAAGCUCGGGGGGAAAAGUAUCUCCAUAUUCUCUGGAAAUUUCAGAGAAAUUAUUUUGUUCAGCCUGUGACCAGAUCUUCCAGAACCACCAGGAACAGAGAGAACAUUAUAAGCUUGAUUGGCAUCGCUUUAACUUAAAACAACGUCUCAAGAACAAGCCUCUCCUGUCUGCUUCAGACUUUGAACAGCAAAGCUCCACAGGGGAUCUUUCCAGCAUCUCAGGAUCAGAUGACACAGACUCCAGCAGUGAAGAGGACUUGCUGCCACUGGAUGAGGGGAGGGCUGAAUCCGAGAAACCUAACCGGCCCCCCGGAUUCUACCCACAUCGGGUCCUUUUCAAAAACGCCCAGGGCCAGUUUCUUUAUGCCUAUCGUUGUGUCCUAGGCCCUCACCAGGCAAGUAACAGUCCAGAUUGUGUGCUCACUCCCAACUUUUGUAUACUAGGUUUUCCUCAGCCAAUGUAUGUCUUAUUUUCUUCCUUUUGAGUAAGGCUAUAUCAUACCUGACAGCAUAAUCUUGAACUGGCCAGAAUCUUGAAUGGGUCAAGUGAUUUAAGUCUAAAUUGUGAUUAUGUCAUUCCCAUCUUCCACUACUACCUCUUGAAGCCAUGAGUAGUAUCCUUUGUAAAAUGGAAAUGAGGGCAAGAUGGUUGUAAUAAAUGAGAUAAUUCAAUAUAACACUUGGUUUCUUGUUUUCAAUGCAUGCAGCAUGUGGAAUGUUUGUUGAUGUGUCAUCUAGAUUCCCCCAGAAAAGGCAGAAUUGCUACUACAAAACCUACAGAAUGGAGGUCCCAGAUACUACGUGGUGCUCAUGGCUGCGGCUGGACAUUUUGCUGGUGCCAUUUUUCAAGGGUGAGAGAGUGUUGCAUGGGGUAAGGAUGGACCCCACUAACCUGGGAGUACUGCCAGGUCUACAGUACUGAGUCUGUGCUGUCUACAGAAGAGAAGUGGUGGCACACAAAACCUUUCACCGUUACACUGUGCGGGCCAAGCGGGGCACAGCCCAGGGGCUUCAGGAUGCCCAUGGUAGGGCAUCCCGCUCUGCUGGAGCCAACUUGAGGCGUUACAAUGAAGCCAUGCUCUAUAAGGUGAGUUGGGCCUCACAGAUCUGGUAGUCCACUCAUCUCAUGUUUUUCUAGUUUUCUGGGAAGACAAUAGUAAUUUCCAGAAACAUUCUCUCAUUCUUCCUCUUAUCUUACCCUCCCUUCGUAUGAUCGUAGGACCAUUGUUGGUUUGGAGAUUUUUUUUAAAGCAGCAGAUGAAGCUGUGCUAAGUGGAGUUACUCUCUUUAGGAUGUUCGCAACCUGCUGGCGGGGCCAAUCUGGUCCAAGGCACUAGGGGAGGCAGAAACAGUAUUGUUCCGAGCACCACGCUCUGGCCGGUCCUUGUUCUUUGGAGGCCAAGGGGCACCCCUACAAAGGGAUGAUCCCCGACUUUGGGAUAUCCCUCUCACCACCCGCAGACCCACUUUUGGAGAGCUCCAGCGUGUACUCCAUAAGCUGACCACCUUGCAGGUGUAUGAUGAAGACCCUCGAGAAAUGGUCAGAUUUCACUCUCCUGAGACACACUGGAAACCAGUGAGAGAAGAGAGGAAAAAGGAUACUGAGAAAGAAAAAACAAAGGUCCCCAGUGAUGCAAAUAAGCCCCUUGGGCAGGAUGAAGAACCACUCAAACAAGGUUUGGGCACCAUCUGCCUAUCUGCCUGGGAAAUGCAGUGGCCAGUUCUCAUAACUGCCCUUAACCUAUACCCACGUCCGUCCAUCCAUCCACUCAUCCCUGUUCAGAGUCUCAGGAAGAAGAUGGUUCCGAAGUAGAGUUGGAGCUAGUAGAAUUGACCCUGGGGACCCUGGAUCUUCGUGAAUUUGAAGUACUGCCCAAGCGGAGGAGGAGGAGGAAGAAGAAGGAGAGAAGUCAAGAGCAGCAGUGUGGGGCACAUGGGCCUCUUCCUCAGCAACCUCAAGAUGAGCCGUUCUCACAGCCAACCCAAGAGGUUGAAACCCCAUUGGAUACUUUGGUCUAUGAGGCCAAAGCCCCUGGUCAGCCAGAGCUCUGGGACACGCUUCUAGCUGCUUGUCGUGCUGGGGAAGUUGAGGUGCUAAAGCUGCAGCUAGCCACUGGGCUGGUAGACCCUGGAGUUAAGUCCCUGCUCAAUGCCCCUUUGGGCUCCGGUGGCUUUACUCUCCUGCAUGCAGCAGCCGCAGCUGGAAGAGGCUUAGUAGUUCGUUUGCUGUUGGAAGCAGGUGCUGAUCCUACUGUGCAGGACUCUAGGGCUCGGCCACCUUAUACUGUAGCAGCUGACAAAUCAACGCGUAAUGAAUUCCGGAGGUUCAUGGAGAAGAAUCUUGAUGCCUAUGAUUACAACAAGGCUCGGGUGCCAGGGCCAUUGACUCAAGAAAUGGAGGCCCGGCAGGCUACAAGGAAAAAAGAGCAGAAGGCAGCUCGACGGCAACGGGAGCAACAGCAGCGGAAGCAGAGGGAGCAGGAAGAACAAGAGCAAGAGGAACAACGGCGGUUUGCUGCCCUCAGUGACCGGGAGAAGAGAGCUCUGGCUGCAGAGCGCCGACUUGCUGCCCAGUUGGGAGCCCCUAGCCCUCCAGUUCCUGACUCUGCAGUUGCUAGUGCUGGACGCUGCUGGAGUUGUGGAGUGUCCCUCCAAGGCCUCAUUCCCUUUCACUACCUCGACUUCUCUUUCUGCUCCACACGUUGCCUUCGAGACCAUCGCAGUCAGGCGGGGAGACCUUCAUCUUGAUUUCUUUCAGCACCUGGGCCAACUCUGGGUCCCAAGAGGACACAUCCAGACCUAGAGCUCUCUUCCUCCUCAUGAAGCUUGACAUUUGGAAGAUGGGUGGUGAAGGACACCCAGGAAUCGAGGCAAAGACAGGGCCACGAAGGUGUGUGGAGCCAGUACUGUCUUUGGAAUUUUAAUCAUAAUAAAGUUUGGCAAGAAAA